rnacentral:rRNA from 1 species
CGAAGGGGGCUAGCGUUGCUCGGAAUCACUGGGCGUAAAGCGCACGUAGGCGGCUUUUUAAGUCAGGGGUGAAAUCCUGGAGCUCAACUCCAGAACUGCCUUUGAUACUGGGAAGCUUGAGUCCGGAAGAGGUGAGUGGAACUCCGAGUGUAGAGGUGAAAUUCGUAGAUAUUCGGAAGAACACCAGUGGCGAAGGCGGCUCACUGGUCCGGUACUGACGCUGAGGUGCAAAAGCGUGGGGAGCAAACAGGAUUAGAUACCCUGGUAGUCCACGCUGUAAACGAUGGAUGCUAGCCGUUGGGGGGUUACCCUUCAGUGGCGCAGCUAACGCAUUAAGCAUCCCGCCUGGGGAGUACGGUCGCAAGAUUA